UGUGGGUCAUUUCGCUUCAUUUUAAUACAAUGGUUUUUAUAUUUUAUUUAGUUAUCACUGUAUAAUAUGAUUCUAUUCAUACAUAUUAUUAAACACAUUCAUAUAUCUACUGAACAUUAUCACACUGAGAACGGUGCAUUUCAAACUGUUCUGAGACCAGUGCAGACAGACAGCACACUGGAGGUUAAGUCAUGCACUAAAUAGGGAGCAAGGGAGCAUCCUAUAGCUCUCCUAUAACUGUUCUGAGACCAGUGCAGACAGACAGCACACUGGAGGUUAAGUCAUGCACUAAAUAGGGAGCAAGGGAGCAUCCUAUAUCUCUCCUAUAACUGUUCUGAGACCAGUGCAGACAGACAGCACACUGGAGGUUAAGUCAUACACUAAAUAGGGAGCAAGGGAGCAUCCUAUAGCUCUCCUAUAACUGUUCUGAGACCAGUGCAGACAGACAGCACACUGGAGGUUAAGUCAUGCACUAAAUAGGGAGCAAGGGAGCAUCCUAUAGCUCUCCUAUAACUGUUCUGAGACCAGUGCAGACAGACAGCACACUGGAGGUUAAGUCAUGCACUAAAUAGGGAGCAAGGGAGCAUCCUAUAGCUCUCUAUAACUGUUCUGAGACCAGUGCAGACAGACAGCACACUGGAGGUUAAGUCAUGCACUAAAUGGGGAGCAAGGGAGCAUCCUAUAGCUCUCCUAUAACUGUUCUGAGACCAGUGCAGACAGACAGCACACUGGAGGUUAAGUCAUGCACUAAAUAGGGAGUAAGGGAGCAUCCUAUAGCUCUCCUAUAACUGUUCUGAGACCAGUGCAGACAGACAGCACACUGGAGGUUAAGUCAUGCACUAAAUAGGGAGCAAGGGAGCAUCCUAUAGCUCUCCUAUAACUGUUCUGAGAUCAGUGCAGACAGACAGCACACUGGAGGUUAAGUCAUGCACUAAAUAGGGAGCAAGGGAGCAUCCUAUAUCUCUCCUAUAACUGUUCUGAGACCAGUGCAGACAGACAGCACACUGGAGGUUAAGUCAUACACUAAAUAGGGAGCAAGGGAGCAUCCUAUAGCUCUUCUAUAACUGUUCUGAGUCCAGUGCAGACAGACAGCACACUGGAGGUUAAGUCAUGCACUAAAUAGGGAGCAGAAGUUCAGUUUCAGGCUGGAGAUGAUGUUUGGAUAUGUAUAUUUUAAUCCUCUCUUUGUCUCCACUUGAUCAUUUUAAAUUGUCCUGCAGUGUGACAAAUGAAUAUUUAACAGUACAAAUAUUCUUUGUCUCAUUUGGACAACUUUUAUGAUAAUUAAUGGUGUUUAUUUGGUGUAUUUCAUCAUUUUCCACAGAAGAAAGAAAGUCAUGCGGGUUUGGAACAUGUAAUUAAUGACUGAUCAUCUGAUCAGCAGAACACACACUGAUGUCACAGACACAACAGACUUGGAGCACAUUCAGUGUUCUUCUGUUAAAGCUAUUUUAAUGAAGAGAUCAGCGAGAGAACAGCAAAUAAAGAGCUCAGUCUGAUCCGUUAAUUACACUGCUGCUUUUACUCAAAACAUGUAACAAUUGUUCAUAAAUUCCACCUACAGCGGGAGCUCAUGCGACAGGAUAUUAAACAAAGCCAAACACAAUUACUUUUGCACAGCCAACAAUAGAGAACUAUGCUUUUGCCCCAUCAUGAUGCAGUUACCGAACCCACCAGCAGGAGCAGACUGGAUCAUGUUUACUAGUCAAACCCUGACCGCUUGAGUAAAACACUGAGGUGCUGUGUAACAAUGACAUGCUGAAGUCUGAUGAGAGAGAAACAAGAGCAGGUGGAACCAGAACCAUCUUGACCUCUGUGACCUUCAGAAACCUGAUCUAAUGCGACUGCACCCAUGGCCAGAGGUCACACCUCCCACACACUGAAGAUCUUACAGCGUGUCCAGUGAUGAUGUCACACACGAGCAAGUGUUUGAAGAGACGUCACUGAAAUGUGCAGCUGAUGAUGUCACUAUAUCUAUAUAUAGAUUCCAAGAGUUUCUAUCGUUUUUAUUUAAAGCUCCAUUUACCUGGACUAUGUCAAUUAAACUGUGGAUAAUAUUGGACAGUUUCCUGUAGUUUAAAACAAGAGUGUAUUUAACUUUGUGCAUUUCAUUUAUUUUCUUUUUCCCCUCCAUUGUUUAUGCUUACUUGUGGAGAGAUACAUAUACUUUAGGCUUGUGCUUGAACUCUUUAGUUGUCUGGAACCAUAUUAUGUAAAAUCCUAAUUAUUAUUAUUUUUUAUUUUAUUACAAUAGACUCAUUUUUUGCAUUCCCUCGCAAUAAAUUUACCAUGAUUUUACUACAGUAACCAUAUUUUAACCUUGAUAUUCAUAGUAAAACCUGUAUGGAUACAGUAUAAACUAUUGCUAAGGAACACAAACUAUUGCGAGUUAAGUUAAUGUUGUAUUUUUUUUAUUUCUUUUUUUAUCCCCUUUUCUACCAAUUUCCCACUACUUAGUAGGUCCUCGUGGUGGCGCGGUUACUCGCCUCAAUCCGGGUGGUGGAGGAGGAAUCACAGUUGCCUCCACUUCUGAGACCGUCAAUCGGCGCAUCUGAUCACGUGACUCGUUGUGCAUGACACCGCGGAGACUCACAGCAUGUGGAGACUCAUGCUACUCUCCACGAUCCACACACAACUCACCACACACCCCAUUGAGAGAACCACU